ensembl:lncRNA
ACUUUAGGCACGCCCCCUUUGGCUCACCGGCGCACCCCCCCAGCCUUCUCACCUGCCCUGUCCGCCUCCACAGCUGUCGUCAAUGGACAAAUGCUGUAGCAAGGAUCAUGGUGGCGAAAAGUCUAGUGUCUUUAGUGUUUCUAAUUUGUUGCAUCGUUGGAACCGAGAACAAUAAAGGUCGGCUUCAAUGUCGACGGCACCUCAUGAGUCACCUCUACUCAGCAAUGCAUCAGAUAUUUUUAAUGGACAAACAUCUAAACUUUCCAGCUACACGGUUGUAAAGCCUCAGCUUGUUCACAGGAGAUGGGCAAGAAAUGCCGACAGACGUCCUGACUGGGGAAAG